GUUUUAUGAAAUUUUCAUGUUUUCAUCUAUUGGCAGAGAGGUGGUGAGAGUGGUCAUUUGUUUGUGGAUACAAAGACAACUUAGGAUCUGCAUAGCCCUUCAUUAAACCAAAGGGUCUUUCAGAAGUAGAGGACAAACCACAAAAAUCUCUUAAUGAGAAACAGCAAGAGAAUCAAGAGCUUCUUAUCCGAUGUAUUGGACAACACCUAGGCUUCGCAGGGAACAGACCAAUUGCUGCUAGUAUCAUCUACAAAUGCCUUCUACAGUGGAGAUCUUUUGAAGUUGAGCGGACUAGUGUGUUUGACCGAAUCAUUCGGACCAUAGGCCAUGCUAUCGAGACCCAGGAUAACAAUGACAUCUUAGCCUAUUGGUUGUCCAAUUCCUCGUCUCUUCUGCUGCUGCUACAGCGUACAUUGAAAGCAAGUGGUGCCGCUGGAAUGGGCGCCGUCGAUUAUCCUCGGCUACUCUGUUUAGAAGGAUGACACAGAGUUUCCGAGGAACUCCGCAAGGAGUUAAUCUUUCCUUUGUAAAUGGUGGCCUGAUUGGUGGAGCAGAAGCUUUACACCAAGUUGAAGCCAAAUACCCAGCUUUACUUUUCAAGCAACAACGUACAGUAUUUGUAGAAAAGAUUUAUGGAAUGAUUCGAGAUAACCUUAAGAAAGAGAUUUCUCCAUUGCUUGGGUUGUGCAUCCAGUGUUUAUUCGAUGUAUUACCAAAGGACUG